UAGGGAAUCUUCCGCAAUGGGCGAAAGCCUGACGGAGCAACGCCGCGUGAGUGAUGAAGGUCUUCGGAUCGUAAAACUCUGUUAUUAGGGAAGAACAAAUGUGUAAGUAACUAUGCACGUCUUGACAGUACCUAAUCAGAAAGCCACGGCUAACUACGUGCCAGCAGCCGCGGUAAUACGUAGGUGGCAAGCGUUAUCCGGAAUUAUUGGGCGUAAAGCGCGCGUAGGCGGUUUUUUAAGUCUGAUGUGAAAGCCCACGGCUCAACCGUGGAGGGUCAUUGGAAACUGGAAAACUUGAGUGCAGAAGAGGAAAGUGGAAUUCCAUGUGUAGCGGUGAAAUGCGCAGAGAUAUGGAGGAACACCAGUGGCGAAGGCGACUUUCUGGUCUGUAACUGACGCUGAUGUGCGAAAGCGUGGGGAUCAAACAGG
rnacentral:rRNA from 1 species